CCCAAGAGUCCAUAUCGACGGGAUGGUUUGGCACCUCGAUGUCGGCUCGUCGCAUCCUGGGGCUGGAGCAGGUCCCAAGGGUUCGGCUGUUCGCCGAUUAAAGCGGCACGCGAGCUGGGUUCAGAACGUCGUGAGACAGUUUGGUCUCUAUCCUCUGCGCUCGUUGGAAUCCUGAGGAGGCCUGCCCAUAGUACGAGAGGACCUGGGUGGACGGACCUCUGGUAUGCCGGUUGUCGCGCCAGCGGCAUGGCCGGUUGGCUACGUUCGGGAGGGAUAACCGCUGAAAGCAUCUAAGCGGGAAGCCUGCUCCAAGAUUAGGAUUCCUUGGCACUUCGGUGUCUGUAGCCCGCAUGUUGAACACGUGUUCGAUAGGCCGGAGGUGGAAGCCCCGCGAGGGGUGGAGCCGACCGGUACUAACGGGCGAACGCGGCACACU
rnacentral:rRNA from 1 species